CGCUGGCGGCAGGCCUAACACAUGCAAGUCGAGCGCUACCUUCGGGUGGAGCGGCGGACGGGUUAGUAACGCGUGGGAACGUACCCAGAUCUAAGGAAUAGCCACUGGAAACGGUGAGUAAUACCUUAUACGCCCUUCGGGGGAAAGAUUUAUCGGAUUUGGAUCGGCCCGCGUUAGAUUAGAUAGUUGGUGGGGUAAUGGCCUACCAAGUCUACGAUCUAUAGCUGGUUUUAGAGGAUGAUCAGCAACACUGGGACUGAGACACGGCCCAGACUCCUACGGGAGGCAGCAGUGGGGAAUCUUGGACAAUGGGCGCAAGCCUGAUCCAGCCAUGCCGCGUGAGUGAUGAAGGCCUUAGGGUCGUAAAGCUCUUUCGCCAGAGAUGAUAAUGACAGUAUCUGGUAAAGAAACCCCGGCUAACUCCGUGCCAGCAGCCGCGGUAAUACGGAGGGGGUUAGCGUUGUUCGGAAUUACUGGGCGUAAAGCGUACGUAGGCGGAUUAGUCAGUCAGAGGUGAAAUCCCAGGGCUCAACCCUGGAACUGCCUUUGAUACUGCUAGUCUUGAGUUCGAGAGAGGUGAGUGGAAUUCCAAGUGUAGAGGUGAAAUUCGUAGAUAUUUGGAGGAACACCAGUGGCGAAGGCGGCUCACUGGCUCGAUACUGACGCUGAGGUACCGAAAGUGUGGGGAGCAAACAGGAUUAGAUACCCUGGUAGUCCACACCGUAAACCNAUGAAUGCCAGUCGUCGGGC
rnacentral:rRNA from 1 species